rnacentral:lncRNA from 1 species
GAGGCUUAUAAUGUGGCUGGGCUAAGAAGAAAGGCGCCCAAGCGUGGUACGACACUAGGAGAUUGGCACUUAGCGCCCAGGGAAGGGCACCCAACAUGAAUGCGAGGCUUCAACGCUGAGGGCCUCAGAAAGGGGCAGUCAGGCGUCCAUACGAGCCUCUAGCACUGAGGGCCCCAAUGUCGCAACCGGGAUCGCGAUGGGACGGCGAACCGAAAAACAAACGGGUUUAAGAAAAUAUAAUGGGAAUCACCACCAUAAUUUAUUAUCGAAAAACUAUGGAAAACCAUAAAAUAAAAGCAUGGUCUACAAAAAAGAGAUUUUCAAGUUCGGGAAUCGGUUACACGUAAGGAAGGUAUUAGCACCCUGGCG